UUUUGGGACGAAGAAAAAGGGACCCAGCUGCGAACUUUGGUGAAAAUCGCAGACCACAUGGACCACUGUUUUUCGAACGCACAUUGCGGCCUCGGGUCCUACCCGGGGCCACGUCUGUCUGAGGG
rnacentral:rRNA from 1 species